UAGGGAAUCUUCGGCAAUGGACGAAAGUCUGACCGAGCAACGCCGCGUGAGUGAAGAAGGUUUUCGGAUCGUAAAACUCUGUUGUUAGAGAAGAACAAGGACGUUAGUAACUGCACGUCCCCUGACGGUAUCUAACCAGAAAGCCACGGCUAACUACGUGCCAGCAGCCGCGGUAUACGUAGGUGGCAAGCGUUGUCCGGAUUUAUUGGGCGUAAAGCGAGCGCAGGCGGUUUCUUAAGUCUGAUGUGAAAGCCCCCGGCUCAACCGGGGAGGGUCAUUGGAAACUGGGAGACUUGAGUGCAGAAGAGGAGAGUGGAAUUCCAUGUGUAGCGGUGAAAUGCGUAGAUAUAUGGAGGAACACCAGUGGCGAAGGCGGCUCUCUGGUCUGUAACUGACGCUGAGGCUCGAAAGCGUGGGGAGCAAACAGG
rnacentral:rRNA from 1 species